rnacentral:lncRNA from 1 species
GUUAUAAUCAACAGAAAGACAUACCAUCAGCAGGGAGUUGAACCCAGAACCAGUCUGUUCACCAAAACUGUGGAAAACUAAGAAGCCCUAAAGACCUGUGCACUGAUCAGCCAGCUUGUGAACUCAGUCCAAGAUGAGGUCAACGAUCUCCUUGUCAAUGAUGUAGUGGCCUCAUGCAUAGCCAUUGGCAGCAUCUUCCUUGGCUGGGAUGAGCUUCUCAGGGUGGAAGAGGUGGCUAGUAGGUGUCAGGGUAAACUGUGUUAAUAACUGUGGGUUCCAGAUCUACAAACAUGGUCCUGGGCACAUGCUUUUCAGUGCCUGUCUCACUGAAGAAGGUGUUAAAGGAGUCAUCUCCCCCUCAAAUUGUCUUGUCUUGUCACUUGGCAUCUGGCCAUGGUGCUGGAUGCCAUGUUCCAGGCAGUAGAGUUACCAGCUGGAGCUGCCAGUCUGGACACCAGGCUGGCCAAUGUGGAUGGAGAUGCACUCACACAUAGUGGCUAAGAGUUAGGAGGCUAAAGCGACAGGAGCAGAUAACGGGUCCAAUGACCGAUCCCAACAAGCUAAGAGUCAAGGCUACUCAAGUGAAGCAGUAGAAGUGGACAAGGAACAAAAAAAUCUACUCACAGCUGGAGAAAAUUUGUGUCAAGAUGAAUCAUGUUUUGAAUCUUCUCUCAUGUCAGAUUUAGAUAACUGUUUGGACUAUGGACCUCUUAGUUGAUGCUGGAAAGUGUUAAGAUUUUGGGGACUAUUAAGGUGAAAUAAAUGUAUUUUGCAUGUGAGAAAGACAUUAAUUUUGGGGGCUGUGGUGGAGAGCUAUGGCUUGAAUGUGUCCCCUAAGAAGCAUGUGUUGGAAACUUAAUCCCCAGUGCAACAGUGUUGGAAAGUUGGGCGUAAGAAAAGAUGUUUAUGUCAUAAGGGCUCCACCCACAUGAAUGCAUUAUUACUGAUUGUUAAAAGGCUUGAGGCUGCAAGUUUGAUCUCUCUCAUACACAAGCAUAUGUGGUUUCUUGCUCUUCUGUCUUUCACCAUGGGAUGGCUCAGUGAGAAGACUCUAACCAGAUGUAGGCCCCCUUGACUUUGAACUUCUCAGCCUCUCGAGCUGUAAGAAAUAAAUCACUGCUUUUUAAAUAAAUUAUCCAGUUUCAGAUAUUCUUUUGUAGCAGCAAAAAAUGGACUAUGACAUGGAGCUUUAAGAGACAUCUGAUAAAAAUAAAAUUUAAGUGAAAACGUGGGCAGAUAGGAUGAGAACCUGUCCCAUGAAAAAACCCUGUGUAGUCACUAGGUGAGAGAAGAAAUUCAGAACACCAUGUCUUCACUCUAUAUGUGUACAUCCUAGAGAUGAAGAAUUAUAGAUUAAAAAACCAAAAUUACUAUUUAAUUAUUUUGUAUAACAAAAUGAGACACUACCAUCACUUUUUGAGACACUUAUAUCUAUGUCAACCAAAAAGCAAAUCCCAAUUUUUCCUCCCCAUACAACAGACCAUCACAUAAACUCCGCCCUGUGAGGGCCCAGGCCAUCUAAUUACAGCAUUGCAGCUAUCACAACUAAGCCAAGUAUCUCAGGAGAAAAAAAGCUACCUGUUUCUAGCCACACAAUUAAGCCAUGUAAACACAUGUCAUACUUUGUGUCAAAGCAGUGAUAGUAUCAGUUACUUAGAGAUGAAUAACUGGUGCUUGGGACUGGAGCAGCCUUGAGACAAGAAUAUCACUCAUCAGUCCCAAAGAAAUGGCAGAGGAGGAACCAUGGCUGGAAAAGCAGACGCUAUAGUGGAAGACAACCUUUUAGGCUUCCUCAAAAGCCUGGAGUUGGGGUAUCUUGCUGGUAAUUGAAAUUCCUAUGUAAAAUGUUGGAAUAAAGAAUAAAGUUAAUUUGGGUGUGUUCUAUUUUUUCCACAUAAACUUGCAAGUUAGACCCACAGUUUUUGCUUAUGUAUCAAUGUUAUAAUAUGCUACUUUAACACUAGUGCUAGUUUAUUAAUCCUAUGAGUUCAACUGUGUAAUUUUCAUUUUUUUGCUGUGUUUUGUAGGAUUUUAUGUAGUUUAAUGUUUUCCUCCAUAUCUGAAAUAAAAUUUA